rnacentral:rRNA from 1 species
GACGAACGCUGGCGGCGUGCUUAACACAUGCAAGUCGAACGGAAAGGCCCUGCUUUUGUGGGGUGCUCGAGUGGCGAACGGGUGAGUAACACGUGAGUAACCUGCCCUUGACUUUGGGAUAACCUCAGGAAACUGGGGCUAAUACCGGCUAGGAGCUCCUGCUGCAUGGUGGGGGCUGGAUAGUUUCGGCGGUUGGGGAUGGACUCGCGGCUUAUCAGCUUGUUGGUGGGGUAGUGACUUACCAAGGCUUUGACGGGUAGCCGGCCUGAGAGGGCGACCGGCCACAUUGGGUGGGAGUUACGGCCCAGACUGCUACGUGAGGCAGCAGGGGGGAAGAUUGCACAGUGGGCGGAAGCCUGAUGGAGCAACGCCGCGUGCGGGAUGACGGCCUUCGGGUUGGAAGCCGCUUUCGCCUGUGACGAAGCGUGAGUGACGGUAAUGGUAAAGAAGCACCGGCUAACUACGUG